CAAGAAACCCGAUGUACUUAUCAACUCAAAGGACGCAACCAUUUGACGCUUAUCAUUUCAGAACGUUAAGUGAUUUGAAAGAUCAAAUGUUCAAAGUUUUGAGCCAUCAACUAGUAAAAGUUGCCUAAAAUAAUUUGCCACGUAUCAACUCAACGGACGAAGCCAUUUGACGCUUAACUUAUCAGAACGUUAAGAAAUCUGAAAGAUCGAAUCUUCAAAGCCUCAAUCGUCGACCAGUAAAAGUGAGUGAAGACAGAAAAAUUGGAUUGCAGGACUGAAUUUGGUUUUUCCACUUAAAUUGAAUAAAUUGUUCAUGCUAGCUGCAUGCAAUGCUAACAUAUGUAUGGAGAUCAAUGAGAUGGAUGGAAGACGGUCGGUCGGUGUUCUGCUUUUUGCAGUAAAACAUGUAGUUUUAUAGCCUGCGCAAACGUAGGUAAUGAACAAAAACUGUGAGAAAUGCACACCAAAGUACAGGAAAUGGCAUUUUAGAGCUUCUCAAUAAAAAAUUUUCCCUGGGAGCAUUUGCCCCCGGACUCCCCAAACAUGACUCGCACCUUAGGUUCUCGGUUCAGGCUUUGGUCGCCAUUUUUAAAGUGUGUAUAUUUAGCGCCAUUUUCAGUGGUAGCUGACUGCUUCCUCCCUGGAGUGUUCCUAGCAUGCAACUGACCCCACCUAUAUUAAAAAAAAAUAUUCAAAAUAUCUGUUUACCCAACAGAACUUUGUGGAACCAAUUAAAAUUUGCUCGCAAAGUG